AUAAAUGAAAAAGUACGCGAAGAUCGAAUGGGAACCAUUCCGAUCGAGCAACGUGCAAUUUCAACUGAAGAAGAUUGAAUUAAAACCGGUACGAGAGGCAGAUCCGGAAUAUCUCAUCCGGCCUGAUAAUUACGGGGAUUACGACAUCACGGUGAAACGAUACACGUACAAAAGUCGUACGUAAAAAAGGAGGAUGGCCUCGAAGGAGCACCACGAAGCCAGGGUCUUCGCGUUAACGGUUGAGAACACCGUUCGGUCAGGGAGAAGUCACGAACGCAAAAGGAAGGCGAAGUGAGCUUACGUCAUUUACGUCAUAUACCUGCGUCAUUUGACCGGUGGUGAUUGGUGCAGUGUCAAUUUGUAGAAUAUUGUACAUUUCCGAAGAGAGCCCACCAUCUUUUUGCCUCGAUGGUCGAACAGAACGUUACAAGACGCUGCGAAACGCAGAAGCCAUUGGCCAAACAUUGUCCGAAGAGCCAGUGUCUUUCGAGGACGUUCACGGAUGGCAAAGAGGAAAGACAAGCACAGCGUGUUCCGAAGUGUAAGCAGUUUAAUGAAGGGUGACAAAAGGAAAUUCGCUCCUCAAUCGUAACCGAUUUUUAUUUUCGACACUCCGUUUCCUUGCCAGUCCCUACGAUAGGUGGAGGUGAUUUCUG